rnacentral:tRNA from 1 species
GUCAGUGUGGCAUAGUGGUUUGGGUGUUGGACUAUGACUCUGUUGACCAGGGUUCGAUUCCCAGCUCGACC